UACGGGGGGGUGCGAGCGUUUGUCCGGAAUCACUGGGCGUAAAGGGCGCGUAGGUGGUUUGAUAAGGGUGUGGUGAAAGUCCGGAGCUCAACUCCGGAUCUGCCGUGCCGACUGUCAAACUCGAGGGCUGUAGAGGCAGACGGAAUUCCGGGUGUAGCGGUGGAAUGCGUAGAGAUCCGGAGGAAGACCGGUGGCGAAGGCGGUCUGCUGGGCAGUUUCUGACACUGAGGCGCGACGAGCGUGGGGAGCAAACAGG
rnacentral:rRNA from 1 species